UACGAAGGGGGCUAGCGUUGCUCGGAAUCACUGGGCGUAAAGGGUGCGUAGGUGGUCCGUUAAGUCAGUUGUGAAAUCCCCGGGCUCAACCCGGGAACUGCUUCUGAUACUGGCGGACUUGAGGCCAGUAGGGGUCACUAGAACUGACGGUGGAGCGGUGAAAUGCGUAGAUAUCGUCAGGAAUGCCGGUGGUGAAGACGGGUGACUGGGCUGGUUCUGACACUGAGGCACGAAAGCGUGGGGAGCGAACGGG
rnacentral:rRNA from 1 species